AUUUAAAUAGUUUAAUAAAAAUAUUAAUUUGUGGAAUUAAUGAUAUACAUUAUGUAUUUUAGAUA
rnacentral:tRNA from 1 species